rnacentral:rRNA from 1 species
AUGACCGUGACGUUCCAGGAUAUUGCUAUGAUCACCGGUCUUCCUAUUGAUGGGAAUCCUCUAUGUAUGAGCACCGAUUCCGAUGGGUGGCGCGCGCAGAUGCAUGCCCUUAUCGGUAUGGUUCCUCCGGAGCCUCCGGAACCAGCAGCAAAAGACAAGAAGAAGGAAAGAGUCACAGCCGGUGCUACUUUCACGUGGAUUACUGAGCACUUUGGUACUUGCCCACCGGAAGCUGAUGAGGACACGGUCAAUACAUAUGCUCGUGUCUACAUGUGGUAUGUGAUAUCCAGGACUAUGUUUGCUGAUGGCAUAGGCAAGAAUGCUCCAUGGAUGUGGCUGAAGGCGUUGACCGUCUUCGAUAGCAAUUGGAGUUGGGGUUCGGCGACACUGGCUUACUUGUAUAGACAGGUAUGA